UACGGAGGGUGCAAGCGUUAAUCGGAAUUACUGGGCGUAAAGCGCACGUAGGUGGUUUGUUAAGCCAGCUGUGAGAUCCCCGGGCUCAACCUGGGCACUGCAGUUGGAACUGGCAAGCUAGAGUAGGGUAGAGGGGUGUGGAAUUCCAGGUGUAGCGGUGAAAUGCGUAGAUAUCUGGAGGAACACCCGUGGCGAAGGCGGCAUCCUGGACCAACACUGACACUGAGGAGCGAAAGCCAGGGGAGCAAACGGG
rnacentral:rRNA from 1 species